rnacentral:misc_RNA from 1 species
UCUGGGUUUAUCCCAGCGGUCCCGUCAGAGAAAUAUAACUGACGGCGAGGGUUGCGCUCGUUGCGGGACUUAACCCAACACCUCACGACACGAGCUGACGACAGCCAUGCACCACCUGUGAACGCCCCCGAAGGACACCACAUCUCUGCGGUUUUAGCGCACAUGUCAAACCCAGGUAAGGUUCUUCGCGUUGCAUCGAAUUAAUCCACAUGCUCCGCCGCUUGUGCGGGCCCCCGUCAAUUCCUUUGAGUUUUAGUCUUGCGACCGUACUCCCCAGGCGGAGUGCUUAAUGCGUUAGCUGCGGCACAGAGCGGGUUGAAGACCGCCCCACACCUAGCACUCAACGUUUACGGCUGGGACUAC